GACGAACGCUGGCGGCAUGCCUAAUACAUGCAAGUCGAACGCCAAAUCUUCCUGCUUGCAGGAAGAGGCGGAGUGGCGAACGGGUGAGUAACACGUGAGGAACUUGCCCAUAAGAGGGGGAUAACACCCGGAAACGGGUGCUAAUACCGCAUCGGUUUUCCCAGUGCAUGCUGGGAAAAUGAAAGGUGGCUCUGCUACCGCUUAUGGAUAGCCUCGCGGCGCAUUAGCUAGUUGGUAGGGCAAAGGCCUACCAAGGCCAUGAUGCGUAGCCGACUUGAGAGGGUGAUCGGCCACACUGGAACUGAGACACGGUCCAGACUCCUACGGGAGGCAGCAGUAGGGAAUCUUCCACAAUGGGUGCAAGCCUGAUGGAGCAAUGCCGCGUGAGUGAAGAAGGACUUCGGUUCGUAAAGCUCUGUUGUUGGGGAAGAACACGGAUAGGAGUCACUGCCUAUCCCUUGACGGUACCCAACCAGAAAGUCACGGCUAACUACGUGCCAGCCGCCGCCGUAACAC
rnacentral:rRNA from 1 species